ACGGCGCUGGUGUUUUGCCGCCUAGCUCUCCGAGCACGGCUGCGCUCCCUCGCUGCUCUCCUCUCCUGGCAGGCUGCCGCCGCGGUGGCCCCUUCCCCCCUCACUGCUGAGGGGGCUAACGGCCGCGCCAGGGCGGGCUCGUGUGGUAAAGAUGUUGGACGUGGAGGGAGCUCCUGCUUCUCCUGCUGGUGUUGGGAGAAGUGAUGCUUGCGGAGGCUCCCUCCGAGCUGGUGACUGACAUUUCUGCAGUAGUACCUGGGCACUACCGGUGGCUGCUCCCUGCCAGUCCUCAGGGCGCUUGGCCAGGAGAAUCUCCUGGAUGCUGGUAGUAUGCAAUCUGUUCAACAUGAAGACUCAACAUUUGAAGAUUACUUAGAAAUUUCUGUUUUGAUCCAGCAUGAGCUAAGACAACUUUAACGAGGUCAGAGGCUUUUUAAGGCAUCCAGAAGCAGACCACAGGAAUUUCAAGAGUGAAGCUGAAUGAAACCAUGGAAAUUAGUCAGGU